UCUUGUUAGACUCAGCAUGGUCUAGCCCAAGGCAGAACUCAGAAGGGCCCCUCUCAGGGGAGCAUCCCAUGGGCAUGUCCUCAGGACCUCUCUCUGGGUCAGAUGCUUGGGGACCAGGACAGUCUAGAGCCAGCCAGCCCAUACCUAGCCUUGAAGGGGCUAUGGAGCCACCCAAUGAGAGAUGAGAGGCCAGGAGAAGCUACUUCCAGAAAAAGGCAUUAUUGAAGGAAACUAGUGCCAGUUGGGGGUUGGUUGCUAUAGAAACAGUCCUAACUAUCUCCUAAAAUGCUAGAUGUGCCACUCUUGAGCUGUGUGGGGGCUAUUUCAGGGGAUGGCCAGGAGCCCUGGAAGACCUGUCUCUCGUGGCUCCCAGUCUCUGAAGCUGACAACCUGGAGGAUCCAAGGAGAAAUCAGCUUCCAGGGGCAAUGAGGCAGUUCUGUGAGUACAUGCAUAACGCUCAAGGGCUGAGGCAGAGGCUUCAGACCGCACAAUCAUCCUGACAGCAACUCAAGUCCUAGAGAAGAGUCAUGGCCCAAACCUGGACCUCAACUAUUUCCUGAAUCUUCAGCCCAACCAUGGAUGGACCCACAACCCUGGCCACAGACCAACCCGGGAUCUCUGCCAGAAGUGCCACAGCCUCAGUUUCAAACCAAGCCACACAUUUGACCACAAUCCCAGUUACAAACUAAGCCUUGACCUAGUCACAAACAAAGCAGUAAGUCAGGACUCUCCCCUAGCCAUAGGUGGUACCCAGCACAGUCAAUGGGGUGACAUCAAAUAACGUUAAGGAUAUGUUCACAAUGAAUGCUCUAAAUUCCAUACAACAUUUGAGACUAUUGCAAGACACCCAUGACCUCCACUUCCUAUCAGCUUCACAGUAGCCCAAGGAAGUCAGCUCAUGAUCCCUGUUUGCAGAGAAGAAAACUGAAGCUCAGAGAAGGAAACAGCCUGUCACUGCACCUACUGUCACUGGCCCUGCUUCACUGGUGGAGGGGAUGAUUCCAGAGCUUCUCAGGAGGGACCAGCUUCAUGAGGACAGGAAGUGGGAACCACCAUGGCCAUGGCGGGGCCAGAAGGAGUUCUGAUCAAGAAUAAUGGGUCGUCUGGGAAGUGAAACACUUCCUCGCUGGCCUCCCCUGCCCCAGAUCAUCUCUACCCUCUCCGAGAGAGACCAGGAUGAAAAAACCGAGGCCCAGAGGGGAUAGUUCAAGGUCAACCGGGGCCCGGAGACAGAGCAAGACACCACUCAAUUUCAUCAUCCAUAAAAUGGGGAAAACAUUGGCACUACCUCAAAGAGAUGCUGUCAAGAUAUUGGACAGGAAAAUAUGUUGAGGGCUGUAAUAGGACAGCACCAAGAUUGUCCCCAGGAUGCAAUUUCUGACCCUGUCCUCCCUCCCACAAGCCUGGAAUCAGAGAAUUCCUAAUAGCUAUACUACCAAGAAGCUCCCAUCCCCAAAGCUGCACUGGUCUCUGAGCAUCCACAUUGUCUGUCCUUGACCUCAGAAAAGAACCUUUUGCCUUUCUGACCUCAUCUC